GACAGAGGGUGCAAACGUUGCUCGGAAUCACUGGGCGUAAAGGGCGUGUAGGCGGGAAGGAUAGUCAGAUGUGAAAUCCCUGGGCUCAACCCAGGAACUGCAUUUGAAACUCCCUUUCUUGAGUACCGGAGAGGAAGGUGGAAUACCUGGUGUAGAGGUGAAAUUCGUAGAUAUCAGGUGGAACACCAGUGGCGAAGGCGGCCUUCUGGACGGUAACUGACGCUGAGACGCGAAAGCGUGGGGAGCAAACAGG
rnacentral:rRNA from 1 species